GUAUUGAAGAGAUGUGUAUUACAAAUCCUUAGUCAUGACUAAGGGCUGAUCUGAAGCCCAAAACGCGUCGGCGCGUGUGUUUUUAUACACUUUGUUUUGUGGUUUUUUGCACCAUGUUUUAAAGGAUUUAUUAAAAGUCAAGUUUUAACCUAGAAACCUUGAGGCGUGUGAGCUUGACCACCUUUCCUUUCUGCUAAUCAACACGGGAAGCGGCCCGCAUUGUCCGUGCUCCAGCGCUGCAUACUCCAUGGAUGCCUGUUACACAGCAUAAAGACCGUAUCCACCGGACCAGUGUCCCUGAUUCCGGACAAGCUAUGGCUGCAGAUUGGAGUAUCAUAAAACCAGACGUCUACUGAGAUGUUGUGCUCUUAGCACAACCCUAUAUGGAAAAGUUACAGUAUGUACAAGCGUUCUGGAUAUUCCUGAUGAUAGACAAAACAUUUCAGCUGCAAAGAAGAAAAUAAUGUGAUAUAGUAUGUAUGCACUAAGACUCACCAGAGAUGUACCCCUGCAUU